rnacentral:misc_RNA from 1 species
UGCAAUUACCCUUUUGAGAAUAGAAUAGAUAGACGAAAUGAAUGGCUUCAAACUCAUUAUCUAGCUCUACUUAUUUGGAUAUCAUCCUUUUUUAAUUUUAUUUUUUCAUUGACUGUUUACACUUACAUACUCCUAAUUAAAUUAGUAAAUUGAACAAACUUGAACAUUGAACUUAAUCAAAGGAAAUUCUUAUCAGUCCACCAUGAACAGGUAUUUUUGGUUACGAAAAAUAAUCCACUAAUCAACGAUGGCAACUCAAUGACUUCCAAGUGAUUCUGUUCAGCCACACCAUAUUUGAAGGAGAAUCACAAGACAUGGUUUUUCCAACAUUAUUAUGCAAAGAACAUUAUAUAUAGAUGCAGGUGCAGCCUGCAGGCAAAAUCUAUCCUCACUCCUCCAUCACUAGCAUGAUCUUUGAUACUUCUUGCUUAUGUCUGAUCUGCUCCGCUCUCAGUCUUCCUUUGUUUUUGUGCAUCAAGAUUGUAAUUGGGUAGCUCAUAAUUAAUAUUGGCUGAGAAAGCUAUUCUUCGGGAAUCGUCUUUCUGUUCCGUUCUUGUAUUGCAUGUAUAGAGACCAUGGUUGUUGAAAUUUCCUACCUUGGA